UCACUAUUUUAUUCGAAUUGGUAGCCUCUACCUCCAAUUCGAGGAAUUACCCUAAUUCCUUAGUGGGUACUAGAAUCCACUUAGACUGCACACAAGCCCAACUUUGGUUGGCCAACCCAUGUACAUCUAAGGGUAGGUUCAUAACCAAUUAUUUUUCUAAAUAAUAUUUAAUAAUUUUAAUUUUACCUCAGAAACAUAAUCAGUAGGCUUUGGCCUCCACUGUAAGGAUCCGGUUAGGUCCAACCAUUAACAUGAUCAUACUUGGUGUAUCUAACCAACGAAUGAUUAAGUCCAACUUUAGUUGGCUCACCUAACCACCAUUAGAGAGACACUUCCAAGUCAUCAUAUGAUGAGUGAUAAUUCUAUUAGUCAACAAGCACCAGGCCUUUGGGUCUGCAAUGAUUAUUGGGUUAUGGACUCAUUAUCAAACACCUUAAUGGGAGACUAUGACUCAGUUAUCUCCAUAACUUUGUCAUUUUAAGGACCUAAUAAUUUUAGAAGAUUUAAAUAAUUUAGAGGAUGAGGUCAGAUGAACCAGCUUAUCAUGAUCCUCCCACUGGCUUUACCAAGUCAGCUUAAGGUAGACCAUUAAAAGGGCUGGUCUAGGAGCACCU
rnacentral:lncRNA from 1 species